rnacentral:rRNA from 1 species
AGUGGCGGACGGGUGAGUAACGCGUAGGAAUCUGCCUCAUAGUGGGGGACAACUUGGGGAAACUCAAGCUAAUACCGCAUACGCCCUACGGGGGAAAGCGGGGGACCUUCGGGCCUCGCGCUAUGAGAUGAGCCUGCGUUAGAUUAGCUAGUUGGUGGGGUAAAAGCCUACCAAGGCGACGAUCUAUAGCUGGUCUGAGAGGACGAUCAGCCACACUGGGACUGAGACACGGCCCAGACUCCUACGGGAGGCAGCAGUGGGGAAUAUUGGACAAUGGGCGCAAGCCUGAUCCAGCAAUACCGCGUGUGUGAAGAAGGCCUGAGGGUUGUAAAGCACUUUCAAUUGGGAGGAAAACCUGUCGGCCAAUACCCGGCAGCUUGACAUUACCUUUAGAAGAAGCACCGGCUAACUCCGUGCCAGCAGCCGCGGUAAUACGGAGGGUGCGAGCGUUAAUCGGAAUUACUGGGCGUAAAGCGUGCGUAGGCGGUUAUUUAAGUCAGAUGUGAAAGCCCCGGGCUUAACCUGGGAACUGCAUUUGAUACUGGGUAACUAGAGUUUAGUAGA